rnacentral:rRNA from 1 species
UGCCAGCCGCCGCGGUAAUACGGAGGGGGUUAGCGUUGUUCGGAAUUACUGGGCGUAAAGCGCGUGUAGGUGGUCUGGAAAGUCGGCUGUGAAAGCCCUCGGCUCAACCGAGGAAGUGCAGACGAUACUAUCAGACUAGAAUACUGAAGAGGGUGGCGGAAUGCGCAGUGUAGAGGUGAAAUUCGUAGAUAUUGCGUAGAACACCAGUGGCGAAGGCGGCCACCUGGGAAGAUAUUGACACUGAGACGCGAAAGCGUGGGGAGCAAACAGGAUUAGAUA